ACAAACUGUAACUAUUCAAGCUGGUGAAGGGUUAGAAACGUCAGAGGAGGGUAAAGGUGGAUAAGGGGGUGAUAGAUCUCCAGCUAUUGAGAUUAAUGGGGGAGCACUGCAUAGCUAUGGGGAAAACAGGGAAGGCUAUCUUUGAGAAAAUCCAGCAUAACACACACACACACACACACACACACACCAGCAGAAGGUACAAGACUCCUCUAAAUCCAAAAACCACUUCUCGAUGCCUUCUAGUAGCACAAAUAAUCAUAGAAGUGAUCCACAAGACAGGAUUGAGCACGUCGUGGGAGGAGGGCUAUCUUUGCUCUGAAAGCCACAGUCCUCCUGCUCACCUUUCCAGUCACCUCUAGGAAUCCAUCUCUCUUGUCUGGCGUGCUUCCCCUCUAGGAUUCCGUGUCUCUCUGAUCUCUUUCCUGUCUCGGAUGCUCACGCUCUAGGUAUCUUCUCUCUCUCUUCAAGCCAACCAGAAUGUCUAAGAGAGUUCCUCUCUAGGAAUCCGUCUCACUUUGCUCCAGUGGUCCCCAACCUUGAGGAUCCGCCCCUUCCUCUCCUCCCUCUUCCUCCUCCCCCCGCCCCUUCUUUCUAUGCUGGAAAAGAGGAGAAACCGAGGAGCUCCCAAAGGGGAGGGAAGAAGAGGAGCCUCUCCAAAGGGAGGGGGUCGAGGCGGAACCGGAGGUGGGAAGCUGGGAGUCCGGCCUCCUCCUCUUGCCCCCCUACCUCUAGGAUCCCCCCCAGGGAAAUGGCCGCUUGCUCGCGAGUUUCCCGCCAGAGGAGCUGCAAGGAGAUCUUGAUAGUCUCCAGCUCCCAUCAUCACCGGCCGACCCGCUCAGUGGUGGUGGAUGAUGAGACCUAUGAGGUAAAUGUGGAGGAGGGGGGCGAUGGGAUGUCUCUGGGAGGGGUCUCGAUCCCGCCCGAGUAAGACACCCGGGACCAUUGUCUGUGUGUAAUAUAAAACUAGUCUAUAAAGUUCUAAGUUCACAAUACAGUAAUAAAGAGUUAUGAAGGAUGAUUUUACA
rnacentral:lncRNA from 1 species